UUGAGCCGUAUGAUGGGAAACUAUCAAGUACGGUUCUUAGGGGAGAGAGACAAUGGUAACAUCUCUCUCUUACCCGAC
rnacentral:ncRNA from 1 species